rnacentral:rRNA from 1 species
AUUGAACGCUGGCGGCAGGCCUAACACAUGCAAGUCGAACGGUAACAGGAAGAAGCUUGCUUCUUUGCUGACGAGUGGCGGACGGGUGAGUAAUGUCUGGGAAACUGCCUGAUGGAGGGGGAUAACUACUGGAAACGGUAGCUAAUACCGCAUAACGUCGCAAGACCAAAGAGGGGGACCUUCGGGCCUCUUGCCAUCGGAUGUGCCCAGAUGGGAUUAGCUAGUAGGUGGGGUAACGGCUCACCUAGGCGACGAUCCCUAGCUGGUCUGAGAGGAUGACCAGACACACUGGAACUGAGACACGGUCCAGACUCCUACGGGAGGCAGCAGUGGGGAAUAUUGCACAAUGGGCGCAAGCCUGAUGCAGCCAUGCCGCGUGUAUGAAGAAGGCCUUCGGGUUGUAAAGUACUUUCAGCGGGGAGGAAGGGAGUAAAGUUCAUACCUUUGCUCAUUGACGUUACCCGCAGAAGAGGCACCGGCUAACUCCGUG